AGAGUUUGAUCCUGGCUCAGGAUGAACGCUGGCGGUAUGCUUAACACAUGCAAGUCGAACGGGGGGAGACCUUUCGGGGUUGAACCUAGUGGCGGACGGGUGAGUAACGCGUGAGAACCUGCCUUCAAGACGGGAACAACAGUUGGAAACGACUGCUAAUUCCCGAUAAGCCGACCCCGUAAAAAAGGAAGGUGAAAGAUUUAUCGCUUGGAGAGGGGCUUGCGUCUGAUUAGCUAGUUGGUGGGGUAAGAGCCUACCAAGGCGACGAUCAGUAGCUGGUCUGAGAGGAUGAGCAGCCACACUGGGACUGAGACACGGCCCAGACUCCUACGGGAGGCAGCAGUGGGGAAUUUUCCGCAAUGGGCGAAAGCCUGACGGAGCAAUACCGCGUGAGGGAAGAAGGCUCUUGGGUUGUAAACCUCUUUUCUUAAGGAAGAAGUUCUGACGGUACUUAAGGAAUAAGCAUCGGCUAACUCCGUGCCAGCAGCCGCGGUAAUACGGAGGAUGCAAGCGUUAUCCGGAAUCAUUGGGCGUAAAGAGUCCGUAGGUGGUCAUUCAAGUCUGCUGUUAAAGCAUGAGACUUAACCUCAUAUAGGCAGUGGAAACUGAGAGACUAGAGUUCGGUAGGGGUAGAGGGAAUUUCCAGUGUAGCGGUGAAAUGCGUAGAGAUUGGAAAGAACACCAGUGGCGAAAGCGCUCUACUGGGCCGAAACUGACACUGAGGGACGAAAGCUAGGGGAGCGAAAGGGAUUAGAUACCCCUGUAGUCCUAGCUGUAAACGAUGGAAACUAGGCGUAGCUUGUAUCGACCCAAGCUGUGCCGAAGCUAACGCGUUAAGCUUCCCGCCUGGGGGAGUACGCUCGCAAGAGUGAAACUCAAAGGAAUUGACGGGGNNCCGCACAAGCGGUGGAGUAUGUGGUUUAAUUCGAUGCAACGCGAAGAACCNUUANCAAGACUUGACAUCCGACGAAUCUUUCUGAAAGGGGAGAGUGCCNUUCGGGAGCGUCGUGACAGGUGGUGCAUGGCUGUCGUCAGCUCGUGUCGUGAGAUGUUGGGUUAAGUCCCGCAACGAGCGCAACCCUCGUCCUUAGUUGCCAUCAUUAAGUUGGGAACUCUAAGGAGACCGCCGGGGAGAACUCGGAGGAAGGUGGGGAUGACGUCAAGUCAGCAUGCCCCUUACGUCUUGGGCAACACACGUACUACAAUGGUAGGGACAAAGGGCAGCCAACUCGCAAGAGUGAGCGAAUCUCAUCAAACCCUACCUCAGUUCAGAUUGCAGGCUGCAACUCGCCUGCAUGAAGGAGGAAUCGCUAGUAAUCGCAGGUCAGCAUACUGCGGUGAAUCCGUUCCCGGGCCUUGUACACACCGCCCGUCACACCAUGGAAGCUGACCACGCCCGAAGUCGUUACUCUAACCCGCAAGGGGGGAGGAUGCCGAAGGCAGGGCCAGUGACUAGGGUGAAGUCGUAACAAGGUAACC
rnacentral:rRNA from 1 species